GCUUUGCUUCAGCUUCGCAGGCCUUGCAUUUAUCACUGAUCUCAGGAAUAGACCAAUCAAGGGUUAGCUCUCCCCUCUCUAUGAAAUCAAUUGCUGACGCUUCGUAGAGAGAGUGGGGAUCUCGACACCUGCUGAAACCACCAUGCAAUCGAAGGGUAGGUUGUCCAUAGGCAUUUCUACAUUUGCAGCAUAAAUAUAAUAACCUGCACCGCUGAGCCAUGAUAUUGGACCAAUCAUUCCAAGAAUUUUUGUUUGUCUUUUUGAGCAGCCUACCAAACUAAUUGUCUGGGUAAAAUGAGGCUCGUACACCGGCGAAGUGAGCUUGAUGGAGCUGAGAUUUUGCAGUGGGCAGCGAACCCAUGCUUCUCCAACAUUGAUCGCUAUUUGACCGAAGGCAUAGUUUAUAUUAGUCACUUUAUAGGAGCUUGAAUGGGAGAGGGAGAGGAGGGUGUAGUUGCCAGAGCAUGAAAGAAUCAAGCCUCGUGCACCGCAGGACGGAGGACGAGUCGUCAGUCGCAGGGGAUAUCUGAUCUCCAAGCC
rnacentral:lncRNA from 1 species